AUCGAACGCUGGCGGCAGGCCUAACACAUGCAAGUCGAACGAGUGGCGGACGGGUGAGUAACGCGUGGGAAACCGCCUGAUGGAGGGGGAACACCACUGGAAACGGUCGCUUAUACCGCAAUCCAUCGGUUGUGGCCAGAUGGGAUUGGCUAGUGGGUGGGGUAACGGCUAAUCUAGGCGACGAUCCCUAGCCGGGUCGAGAGGAUGACCGCCAACACGGGAACUGAGACACGGUCCAGACUCUUACGGGAGGCAGCAGGGGGGAAUAUUCCACAAGGGGCGAAAGCCUGAGGCAGCAAGGCCGCGUGGUUGAAGAGGGCCUUCGGGUUGUAAAGUACUUUAAGCGGGGAGGCGGUACCCGAAGAGAAAGCAACGGCUAACUACGUGCCAGCAGCCGCGGUAAUUC
rnacentral:rRNA from 1 species